rnacentral:lncRNA from 1 species
CCGCGGGCACCGCCGGGGCUUCAGUGACACCAGGCACCCGCCCCGGGCCGCGGGAGGAGGAAAUUCCCUGCAAAAUAGCAAUGGUUCCGAGAAAAGGAUCACAACAAAAUAUUGAAUAAAUUCCCUUUUAAUUUAUUUGAUCAUUCCACAUUACGGGGCUAUGAAUUGCUCAAAUUUGAUAACAAGUACUCAAUUCAACUCAUUAUGCUGUGACUUUGCCUGCUGAUCCCUGAGGAGCUGACGCUGAACGCCUGAAUGGGCAGCGCGCCAACUUCG